rnacentral:rRNA from 1 species
UCCGGUGGCUAUGGCGGGGGGGAAACACCCGUUCCCAUUCCGAACACGGAAGUUAAGCCCCUCAGCGCCGAUGGUACUGCAUGGGAGACCACGCGGGAGAGUAGGUCGCCGCCGGGA